GUUACACUACUGGGCCUCAAACCCUAGCGAAGGGUCUCUCCACCCCCGUCCCCGUGUUCGCUCUAACCUCGCCAAAGCCGUCGCUCCUGCAGUCCUUCGGCGCCAUCCAAUCUCACGCCAGACUCCUGCGGUAGGAGAGGAGAGUAUGAACGACGUUCCUUGCAGCGACAGCGACGACCGACGAGGAGCCCUUUCUGUUUCCACCUCCUUUCUUUCAUGGAUGCCGUGUCUUCUUUGCCCGUCAGAGCCCAGAUCUGUCUAUUGUUUGUGCUGAUCAUCGUUCGAGAGAAGAGAUGGGAAGAGAUUGAUUCCUGCAUUAAGAAUCUGUCCAAAGACACUAAGACGUCCUGACUGGUGGUGAUUCUGUUCAGGGAGAAGAAAAUAUACAAUUCAUUGUGGCACUAUUAACGCUAGCAUCAGGAGGUUGUUCAUGUCAUCAAAAUGUGCAACCAGAAUGAAAGUGCAACUACACUGCAGCUUCUUCGAGGUAUGCAGAGUAUGUCCUCUCAUACACCCUGUUCUUAAUGUGUCAAUUAUAUCCUAAAGAUAUGGGUUCACCAGGUACAAAGAACAUCUUAGUGGGAUUUCAAAAAAAAAGUUCAACUUAUUAGUGUUAGCUUCCUAUGUUAUUCUCCAUGGAACCCUCUCCUUAAUUAAGACAGGGUGUCCUUAAAAAGAAAUGUAAGACGAAGGAGGGUAGAGGAGAUCGAGGAGGGAGGGGGCCGUUGCGAGGAGAUAGUUGGAGGUCAAGCAUCGGCACUGGAGACGAGGACCCGCGAGCGGGAGAGGCGACGCUGGGCUGGCCAUUUCCACUGCGUCGGCAGAAGCCAGCGGAGUGAGCUCGUCAGCGUGGCAUCAAACUAUACAAUGAAGUUAGAGUCCGGCCAGAUCGUUUGCAAGUGAAAUAAGGGACCGACAACUGAACAUUUUUAUGCCAACACACUUCUUGCUGGUGUGUCCUUUUAUCAAUAACAUGCCUGCUUCUCAGGAGACGCAAACUGUACCCGAUUAAGAAUGAGAAGAACAACCUUUGCUUCUACUAGGUACUUUCAUUUAUUGACAUUCACCUGUUUGUGUUGUUAACAUUUAGUUCCAUCUAUCCAUCAAUUAGUUAUUAGUUUUUGUAUAUUUCAAUUAAGCGUUGGGGAAGAGUAGCAAAUCAUAAAUUUGAAACAUGUAUCCUCGCAUCCGUGACUGUCUUAUAGUCCAUGAAUAAAUAGUUACUACUUCAUUGGCGCAGUAUUAUUUGCCGAAAUCCCUUUGGGCCAAUAUUUGACAUGUCUUUAUUUCCUCCUUUCCCUUAUACAAUAUUAAAUUUUGGCCUGGGCUUAUGUUUUUACUACCCCUAUCAGAUCAUUAUUUAUUGUAAUUUUUGUGCAAUUUUCUAUAUCGCCUGUUCUGAUUGCACUAAAACUUUCUUCUGCUAACAUAAUUUUUUAAUGUUAUGAGGUUUAUCUAUCCAUUUUUUUGCAUGUGACGAUAUAAAUGAAUUUUUUAGAUAAAAGGCUGAGCUCAACAUGCCUUGAAAAGGUUCGUGCAUAGUUUGGAAAGCUAAUUAGUUGAAUGUAGUGUCCGAUAUUCUUAAGCAUCUCCUCGGUUUUAUCAUUACCAAUUUGAGACGAUUUUCUUUGUCUCGGUUUAAGGCUAUUUAGCCUUCAGUUCGUGACCAAUCUCAUAAUUUGCUCUAAAUGAUAAGUUUUCACUGCUCCAGUGGUUUGGCCUGUUAGAAACAGUUGUAGUGUACUCAUUUGUUGGGAGUGUGAGUGCUCAUCGCGCUAUGUAUUGUAGAAAUCUACCGGAUUAGUCAACGGUAUGCUGCACCGUUUGCUUCAAAACAAUCCUGAGAUAUUUACUGAUUAUACAAUUCUUCGAUUUCCAUUGGUCAUUUUUCUCUUUGUGUUCUCAACUCUAUGUGAUAUCUAUUUUUCUUAAAUUUUGUGCAGCAAAUGAGUAAGAACUAUUACAUUGUACAUGCUACUUAUCACCUUCAUCGUUGUGUUGUGAACAAAGUUGAACUGUUUGGGCUUGUGAAAAAGGUAGAAAUUACUAGAUAUCGUGUCAUGAGAUAUGGCCCUUUUUAAUGGCAUACCAUAUGAAGAUUCUUUUAGUCAGUAGAACUUCUAUGCAUGCCUUCAGCACAUUACAUCUUCAUUCGGUGAAGGAUGUCAUCAAAAGUGAAGGAUGGCAUUGGAAUUUUCUUCAUUAUUUAACCAAGUGAAGGAUAGCAUCACACAAUGGUGUAGUCUAGGAUAGGGAUACCUACAUUUUUUUAUUUUUGCACAACACAUUGCAAUAUAGUAUACAUGAUUUUAACUUAUACUUUUGAUGAAUUUUAUCUCAAGUUCUUCAAUGAUAAUAUGUUUCCGCUUGUUGCUUAAAGCUGUUUCUCAAGCAAAAAAUCUUCUAUCUUUCGGUUUGUUUCCACCAAUGUGUAUUGUUAAAUUAUCUAUGUUGCUAUUAUUUUG